rnacentral:lncRNA from 1 species
AUCCAUCCGUAUAUCCAUCCAUCCGUAUAUCCAUCCGUCCAUCCAUCCAUCCGUAUAUCCAUCCAUCCAUCCGUAUAUCCAUCCAUCCGUAUAUCCAUCCAUCCAUCCAUCCAUCCAUCCAUCUAUCCAUCAGUAUAUCCAUCCAUCCGUAUAUCCAUCCAUCCAUCCAUCCAUCCAUCCAUCCAUCCAUCCAUAUUUGUUCUGUUCUAUUCCUUUAUGCUAUCUUCUAUUUUUUUCUCUCCUUAUCUCAAGAUGUCUCUUAGAUAACUCUUCUCACAACUACCUUUCUUUUCACCCUCCUCCACCUGUCUUCUACCUAUAUCUCUCCAUACUCCUCAUCAUUCCCUUUGUCCAUUGUCUUCAUCUGUUUUCCUUCUCAUACACCUCUUCAUUUGUUUACUGCUAAUGCCUAGAUCUCUCUCUCUCUCUCUCUCUCUCUUCUUUCAUCCAUCCACCACCUUUUGUCCUCCAUCUUCCUUAUCAUUUAAUCUGUUUCCUCCUCAUGCAUCUCUCCGUCUUCCUCUUCCAUUCUUUUGUUCCUGAUCUCUCCAAUUCCUUCUGAUCAACUCUAUCUCUCAUCAUUCUCUUCCAUUCUUUCUCUUUUCAUCUCUUGAUAUCUUAACACUUCACACAGCUAUGUAUUUUCUCUUCUCCUUAUACAUCUCUCCACCUCCUCCUUAUUUUUUCCUUUCAGCAUUGUCUAUUAUCCAUCUGUUUUCCUUCUUAUACAUCUGUCCAUUUGUUCACUUAUUAUCUCUAGAUGUCUGAUACCUUUUCUUAUUAUCACCACUCUCUCUUUCUCUCCUUAUACAUCUCACCAUCCAUCCACCUCCUUCUUAUCUGUCCAAUACUUCUCCAUCUUCCUUAUCAUUCUUUCUGUUCUUUUCUUUCUCUCCAUCCCUGUCUUCCAUUCUUCUUUUCAUCUCUCUAGAUGUCUGAUAGCUUUUCUCAUUAUCAUCUCUCUCUUUCACAUUCACUCCUCAUACACCUCACCAUCCAACCACCUCCUUCUUAUCUCUCCUAUACUUCUCCAUCUUCCCUAUCAUUCUUUCUACUCUUUCUUCUCUCCAUAGCUGUCUUCCAUUCUUAUUCUCAAAGGUAGAUGUGAUACCUUUUCUUAUUAUCACCACUUUCUCUUUUCCUCUCAUUCUCUCUUCCUUUCUCUCCAUAUUCUCUCCUUAUCAUUUUCCUGUUCUCUUCCUUCUCUCCUUAUCACUGUCUUCCAUU